rnacentral:rRNA from 1 species
UUAUGGCUCAGGACGAACGCUGGCGGCGUGCCUAAUACAUGCAAGUCGAACGGUCUUUUCUAUGGAAGCUUGCUUCCACUGAGAAGAUAGUGGCGAACGGGUGAGUAACACGUGGGUAACCUGCCCAUAAGAGGGGGAUAACAUCCGGAAACGGGUGCUAAUACCGCAUAGUUUUCUUGAUCGCAUGAUCGGGAAAGGAAAGACGGCCUUUGUGCUGUCGCUUAUGGAUGGACCCGCGGCGUAUUAGUUAGUUGGUGAGGUAACGGCUCACCAAGACGAUGAUACGUAGCCGACCUGAGAGGGUGAUCGGCCACAUUGGGACUGAGACACGGCCCAAACUCCUACGGGAGGCAGCAGUAGGGAAUCUUCCGCAAUGGACGAAAGUCUGACGGAGCAACGCCGCGUGAGUGAAAGAAGGUUUUCGGAUCGUAAAACUCUGUUGUCAGAGAAGAACAAGUUGGAGAGUAACUGCUCCAGCCUUGACGGUAUCUGACCAGAAAGCCACGGCUAACUACGUGCCAGCCGCCGC